rnacentral:snRNA from 1 species
AAGGAUUCCCUUAGUAAC